rnacentral:rRNA from 1 species
UACGUAGGUGGCGAGCGUUGUCCGGAUUUACUGGGCGUAAAGGGAGCGUAGGCGGACUUUUAAGUGAGAUGUGAAAUACUCGGGCUCAACUUGAGUACUGCAUUUCAAACUGGAUGUCUAGAGUGCAGGAGAGGAGAAUGGAAUUCCUAGUGUAGCGGUGAAAUGCGUAGAGAUUAGGAAGAACACCAGUGGCGAAGGCGAUUCUCUGGACUGUAACUGACGCUGAGGCUCGAAAGCGUGGGGAGCAAACAGG